rnacentral:rRNA from 1 species
CACGUAGGGGGCAAGCGUUGUCCGGAUUUAUUGGGCGUAAAGAGCUCGUAGGCGGUUCGGUAAGUCGGGUGUGAAACCUCCAGGCUCAACCUGGAGAUGCCACCUGAUACUGCUGUGACUCGAGUCCGGUAGGGGAGCGUGGAAUUCCUGGUGUAGCGGUGAAAUGCGCAGAUAUCAGGAGGAACACCAGCGGCGGAAGGCGGCGCUCUGGGCCGGAACUGACGCUGAGGAAGCGAAAGCGUGGGUAGCAAACAGG